GCGUCUGUAGCCUAGUUGGUAAAGGCAGCACUCCUAGUAUGUGUCUCAGCAUAGCUGAGGUCGUGAGUUCGACUCUCACCAGACACA
rnacentral:tRNA from 1 species